GGAGAUUUGGGGGAAUUUUGUGGGCAUUUGGGGGAUUAUGGGGGGAUUUUGGGUGGUUUUGGGGGCAUUUGGGUAAUUUUGGGGGUAUUUUUGGGUGGUUUUGGGGAGAUUUGGGGGAUUUUGGGGGAGAUUUGGGGGUAUUUUUGGGUGGUUUUGGGGAGAUUUGGGGGCAUUUGGGUAAUUUUGGGGGUAUUUUUGGGUGGUUUUGGGGAGAUUUGGGGGAUUUUGGUGGAGGUUUGUGACAUUUUAGGGGGAUUUUGGGGGGGAUUUGGGGCAUUUUGGGGAGAUUUGGGGGAGAAUUUGGGGGAGAUUUGGGGAAUUUCGGGGGAGACUUGGGAUUUUUGGGGGAGAUUUGGGGGAUUUUGGGGGAGAUUUGGGGCAUUUUAGGGGGAUUUUGGGAUUUGGGGGAUUUUGGGGAAUACUUGGGGGGUUUUGGGGGAAUUUGGGGCUAUUUUGGGGUUCUUUUGGGGUAUUUGGGGAUUUUUUGGGGGUGUUUUGGGGUUUCUCUGGGUAUUAUUGGGGUAUUUUGGGGGUGUUUGGGGUAUUUGGAAGUAUUGGGUUAUUUUGGGGUGGUUUUGGGGUGUUUUUGGGGUAUUUUGGGGUCCCUGAUGAGGUUUUUAUCCCCCCAGGUGCCGCUGGGCGCGGGCGCGGGCGCUGCUGUUGGCGGGGGGGUUUGGGGAAUUUUGGGUGUUUUUGGGGUGGUUUUGGGGUAUUUUGGGGUGUUUUGGGGGUAUUUUGGGGUGUUUUUGGGGUAUUUUGGGGUCCCUGAUGAGGUUUUGGGGUCCGCAGGUGCCGCUGGGCGCGGGCGCGGGCGCUGCUGCUGGCGGGGGGGCUUGGGGGUGUUUUUGGGGUGUUUUGGGGGUAUUUUGGAGUGUUUUUGGGGUAUUUUGGGGUAUUUUGGGGUGUUUUUGGGGUCCCUGAUGAGGUUUUUAUCCCCCCAGGUGCCGCUGGGCGCGGGCGCGGGCGCUGCUGUUGGCGGGGGGGGGUCCCAACGCGGCGGCUCUGGGGGUCCUCGAGGACUCCCCCUUCGUCAUCGCCUUCGACCCCUCCCCCAACGGGGACCCCCCCAAAAACGGGGAUCCCCCCAAAAAUGGGGAACCCCCCCCCGAGGAGCGAGACCCCCCCCGGGAUGGGGACCUGGACAACGAGGCCAAGGCGCUGCUGCUGGGACCCCCCCACAACCGGUGGUUUGACAAGUCGCUGACGUUGGUCGUGUUCCCCUCGGGGCGCGUCGGGCUCAACGUGGAGCACUCGUGGGGAGACCCCCCCGUGGCCUGGCACCUCUGGGAGGUACCCCAAAAAUACCCCAAAUUCCCCCCAAAAAUACCCCAAAUUCCCCCAAAAAUACCCCUCUAAAAUACCACAAAAAUUCCCCAAAUCUCCCCAAAAAUACUGCAAAAAAUCCCUCAAAAAUCACUCCAAAAUCCAGGAUGCCCCCCAUGGCCUGGCACCUCUGGGAGGUACCCCAAAAAUACCCCAAAUUCCCCCAAAAAUGCCCCUCUACAAUACCACAAAAAUACCCCAAAUCUCCCCAAAAAUACCGCAAAAAAUCCCUCAAAAAUCACUCCAAAAUCCAGGAUGCCCCCCAUGGCCAGGCACCUCUGAGAGGUACCCCAAAAAUACCCCAAAUUCCCCCAAAAAUGCCAAAAAAUCCCCCCUAAAUCCACUCAAAAAUCACUCCAAAAUCCAGGAACUUCGCCCUGGGGCCAGGCACCUCUGAAAGGUAGCCCAAAAAUACCUCAAAUCACCCCAAAAACACCUCUAAAAUACCCCUCUAAAACACCCCAAAAAUCCCCCCAAAUCUCCCUAAAAAUAUGUAAAAAAUACUUCCCAAAUGCACUCAAAAAUCAUCCCAAAAUCCUGGACCCCAUCCUGGGGCCGAGCACCUCUGGGAGGUACCCCAAAAAUACCGCAAAUCCACCCAAAAACACGUCAAAAAUACCCCUCAUAUACCACUCUAAAACCCCCCCAAAAUCCCUGCAAAUCUCCCAAAAAAUACUGCAAAAAUUCCCCCCCAAAUCCACUCAGAAAUCAUCCUAAAAUCCAGAACUCCCCUGUGGCCAGGCACCUCUGGGAAGUACCCCAAAAAUACCUCAAAAUCAACCCCAAAAAACCCCCCAAAAAUCUCCCCAAAUUCCUCAAAAAUCUUCCCAAAAGCACCCUCAAAAUUUCUCCAAAAAUCCCAUCAAAUUCCUCCCCAAAUCACCCCAAAAUCCCUCUGAAAGUCCUUCCAAAAUCCUCCAAGAAUGGCCCCUGAAUUGCCCCCAAAAUCACCCCAAAAAUCCCCCAAAAUCCCCCAAAAAUGACCCCCAAAAAUCCCUCCAAAAGUCCACCCAAAAAUGGUUCCUGAAAUGUCCCCAAAAUCACCCAAAAGUGUGAGGGGAGAAAAGGGCGGGAAACGUGAGGGGGAAAAAGGCGGGAAACGUGAGGGGAGAAAAAGGCGGGAAAAUGUGAGGGGGGAAAAAAGGGCGGGAAAACGUGAGGGGGAAAAAAGGGCGGGAAAACGUGAGGGGGAAAAAAGGGCGGGAAAAUGUGAGGGGGGAAAAAAGGACAGAAAAUGUGAGAGGAGUUAAAGGGCGGGAAAACAUGAGGGGGAAAAAAGGGCGGGAAAACGUGAGGGGAGAAAAGGGCGGGAAAACGUGAGGGGGAAGAAAAAGGAAAACGUGAGGGGGAAAAAAGGGCGGGAAACGUGAGGGGGGAAAAAAGGGCGGGAAAACGUGAGGGGGAAAAAAGGGCGGGAAAACGUGAAGGGGGAAAAAAGGGCGGGAAAACGUGAGGGGGAAAAAAGGGCGGGAAAACGUGAGGGGGAAGAAAAAGGAAAACGUGAGGGGGGAAAAAGGGCGGGAAAACGUGAGGGGGAAAAAGGGCGGGAAAACGUGAGGGGGAAAAAAAGGAAAACAUGAGGGGGGAAAAAAGGGCGGGAAAACGGGAGGGCAAAAAAAGGGCGGGAAAACGUGAGGGGGAAGAAAAAGGAAAACGUGAGGGGGAAAAAAGGGAGGGAAAACGUGAGGGGAGAAAAAAGAGCGGGAAAUGUGAGGGGGGAAAAAAGGGCGGGAAAACGUGAGGGGGAAGAAAAAGGAAAACUGAGGGGGAAAAAGGGCGGGAAAACGUGAGGGGGGAAAAAAGGGCGGGAAAUGUGAGGGGGAAGAAAAAGGAAAACGUGAGGGGGAAGAAAAAGGAAAACGUGAGGGGGGAAAAAAAGGAAAACGUGAGGGGGAAAAAAAGGGCGGGAAAACGUGAGGGGGAAAAAGGCGGGAAACGUGAGGGGGGAAAAAAGGGCGGGAAAACGUGAGGGCGAAAAAAGGGCGGGAAACUUCAGGGGAAAAUGAGGAGGGAAAUUUUGGGAGGGGUGAAUUGGGGAGGGUCCCCAAUUUUGGGACCCCCUCCCCUAAUUUUUGCCCCCUCAGUUCGCGCUGGCCCUGGACCGGUCCUUGGGCUACGACGAGAGCGGGAAUUGUCCCGGGGACGGGCAGG
rnacentral:lncRNA from 1 species